CUAGCCUUGUUCCCUCUAAGGCUUUCAUGCAGGCCUUGCUGUACUUCUUUGCUGAAGGCAUGUCUCCAACAAGAUGCAAGAUGUAGCCUGAAUCUGUCUUUAAUUUAUGGUGUUGGACCUUAUUUCCCCAAAGAUACAUAGAUAAGCUGUCACUGCAGAUCCUUAAUUCAGAUGAUGUCUCCAGGGGGCAAUAUAAAUAUUAAAGCCUUUUUGAGCAUGAGAUUGGAAUAGACUGUUGCUGCCUCUGUCCAACACCACGCUGACUUCAAUGGCUCUGUAAAGGCAGCCAG